AGUCUGGAGGCUGGGAGGACCAACGUAAGUCAGAUAAAAUCCCUCAGCUUCUUGUGCUGCCCCUGGUGUAGGAACUACAUUUGAACAGAACAUGAAAGAGAAACAAGUCCUGGAAACAGAAACUAGUGGGUAGAAAGCUUUCUCGGAGAUAUGACUGGAAGCCCCGACUCUUCCCAGCAAUCCAUGCCUGUCCCUGUCUGCCACUGUCCAGUCAAGAACUGGAGAAUCUUUUGAAUGCAGGGAUAAUGGAAGCUUCUCCCUGCAGCCAAAGAAACUUGAGAAUAAAAGCCAGUAGCAGACCUGCCGUUAUGACUCUCUCCAAUGGAGGUCAAGAAAUAGAGAAACAAAAGGUCUCAAUCAAGAGAAGCCAUCUGAGAAGCUCCCUAACGAGCUCCCCCCUGCCAUCAGUCUCCACGACAAUAUCUACUGUGCAUGUACAUAGGCAACAGUUGCAACACCAAAACCCAUGACUCAGGUCAUCAUCUGUGAUAAACUACUCUCUUGGCAUCACCCAUGCAAAGAUCUCAUCAGCACGUGGACGGCAUGUGAUAUAAAGCACGUUCACAAGGGAAGGAUUAUCUUUUACUGGCAAUCUGUGAGCACUAUGGAAAAAGACGCUUCGUGAUAGAAUUAUAAAUGCUGGCCCAUCAAACAAAAGCCUCAUGUCUAAACCCUGGGUGAAUAUUGGAUGCCAUUUUUUUCCUGCUUGGCAUUUUGAUGUAACUAUGCAAUAAUAUCAAAUAAUUUCGUGUUUACAUAUGCCAGGUGACAAACUGCAUAUGUGCAAUUACGGCACUUAGUAAAGAAUUUUACAGGCAUCUAAUGCAUAAUGAAAAUUCUGUAUUGAAGUCUGUUUUUUCUCCUACAGUUUUAUGUGUAUUUGACACAGAAUAGACAGGAGAGAGUCCUCCAAUACUGGAAGCAUUCACCAAGUCAGUUCUCCCGUAACUUGCCACUGUGCAUGAAGCCAGAGAUGGAAGAAGCCUGCAGAAUCACAAAUGGAAAGCAGAAAUAGGAAGGAAUUGCAAUGAAUAGUAUUGAAGUGAAUUCUGUGGUAUGAAAAUUAAUAUUUUUGUUUGAAGCUACACUGGACAACAAUUUUAGGUCAAUCUGAUCAUUCAGAAAUAAACCGAUACCAUUUAGAAUACGAUGACAGAGCAUAGCACAAUGUGUUUAGCCUUGGCUUCCCAAAGUAAAAUGAAUGUAAACAAUCAUUUAAAGGAAUCUACCUAGCAACGUGGAGCAUAUAAAAACUAAAAGAAUCCCUUGAUAAGUACCAGGUUUGUGUCUCAGAAUUAUCAAGAUGAUUGUUACAGAUCUCUAAAUGUGGCAUGGUUGAUUGAUACUCUUCCUUGGCUGAUUUAAUUUUAUUUAUUCAUUUAACAUCAAUAUGUGCCUACCACUAAAGGAGGCUUUCUGAUAAUCAAAGAGCCUCUCUCCUGAUACAAUCUAAGAUUUCUUUUUUUAAUCUUUAAUCCAAAGUCAUGUAGUUUUAUUUCCUAAUAUACAUAUUUUUCCAGUGGAGUAUUUUCUAAAACAUUUAAAUAAAUUUUAUAAUAAUGGAUCUGACAACAAAUGCUCUAAGAUAUGCCUAAACCUGUUUACUUUAAACAAAGUUUAUAAACUAAAAAUUUUAUAUUGUUGAAUAAUUUCCUAAGAUCUUAAAGAAUUAUUUGAAAAUGUGAUACAUUCUAGUGUUUAUUUAUGUUAUGACAGCUACACCUGAAUUUUACAUUUUCAAGCACAUAAAAUGUGGUUAGGAACUACCACCUGUAUCAACAGUUGACAAGUGUCUGAGUUGUUUUCUGUACAGCAGGGUAUAUCAGUAGGCUUUCUACAGGAAAUAGCAUAAGCUGCUGUUCAAGAAGUUCUCAAUGGUAUUUUUAAGAAUAAUAAUAAAAUAAAAAUAAUGUAAAAAGAUAGACCAAAUCCUAACACUUUGGAAUAAAAAAAAAAAACAAA